rnacentral:rRNA from 1 species
UACGUAGGGUGCAAGCGUUAAUCGGAAUUACUGGGCGUAAAGCGUGCGCAGGCGGCUUUACAAGACAGAUGUGGAAUCCCCGGGCUCAACCUGGGAACUGCAUUUGUGACUGCAUGGCUGGAGUGCGGCAGAGGGGGAUGGAAUUCCGCGUGUAGCAGUGAAAUGCGUAGAUAUGCGGAGGAACACCGAUGGCGAAGGCAAUCCCCUGGGCCUGCACUGACGCUCAUGCACGAAAGCGUGGGGAGCAAACAGG